rnacentral:rRNA from 1 species
CGCAUCUGUGCAUGCAGCAUAUCAAUAAGCGGAGGAAAAGAAACUAACAAGGAUUCCCCUAGUAACGGCGAGUGAAGCGGGAAGAGCUCAAAUUUGAAAUCUUAAAGGGUUUCCCUUUACGAAUUGUAGUUUAAAGAAGUGUUUUCUGUUGAGGUUUUGGUAAAAGUUCUUUGGAAUAGGACAUCAUAGAGGGUGAGAAUCCCGUAUUUGACCUUUACUUUCAACUUUGUGAUACACUUUCAAAGAGUCGGAUUGUUUGGGAAUGCAGUCCAAAAUGGGUGGUAAAUUUCAUCUAAAGCUAAAUAUUGGCGAGAGACCGAUAGCGAACAAGUACCGUGAGGGAAAGAUGAAAAGAACUUUGAAAAGAGAGUUAAACAGUACGUGAGAUUGUCAAAAGGGAAGCGUUUGACACCAGUGUUGUUUUCUGAAAAUCAAUUAAAGAACUGUUUAUGCUAAGUUGUUUAGACUUUAUCAGCUACUGUUUAGUUUUGAGCUUUUCUUUAAUGCACUUUUCAGUUAACAAGUCAACAUCAAUUUCUUUUGCUGUAAAAAAGCUUGAGGAAGGUGGCUUGAGAUUCGUCUUAAGUGUUUAUAGCCUCUUGCCUAUGCAGUCGGAGAGAUUGAGGUCUGCAGCGUAGAUCCUUCGGGGCUAAAUGCAUUUGUGCUAAGUUAUAGCAUUUUAUAGACAACUUGUUGACUAUGAUUUGUCUUGUAGCUUACUCGCUUAUGUUAUUUUACCUACGCUUAGGAUGUUGACAGCAGUAUAGACUGU